rnacentral:rRNA from 1 species
UACGAAGGGGGCUAGCGUUGUUCGGAAUCACGGGGCGUAAAGGGCGCGUAGGCGGCUUGAUAAGUCGGGGGGGAAAGCCUGUGGCUCAACCACAGAAUUGCCUUCGAUACUGUCGAGCUUGAGACCGGAAGAGGUAAGUGGAACUGCGAGUGUAGAGGUGAAAUUCGUAGAUAUUCGCAAGAACACCAGUGGCGAAGGCGGCUUACUGGUCCGGUUCUGACGCUGAGGCGCGAAAGCGUGGGGAGCAAACAGG